GUUAGCAUUUAUUUUUCUAUUUACCAGUCAUUUGGAAUUUGGACAUUUUCUGUCCUGUGGUUGUGGUGAGGGUGUGGGUUUUGUGUUGUUUUAUAUAUUCUUUGUUAUUUUUUAUUCUAGUUUUUGUUUUUGUUUUGGAAGGUAUUUUAGAGAAAUAAGAUUUCUGUGGUUACCAUGACCUGCUGUUACAGAUUACAUGGUACCCUCUCUUCAUAUGUUGAAGUCCUAGCCACCCCGCCGAACCUCAGAAUGUGACUGUAUUUGGAGAUAGGGUCUUUACAGAGGAAAUCAAGUUAAAAUGAAGUCAUUAGGGCAGGCCCUAAUCCGAUAUGAUCCUGUGUUCUUAGAAGAGGAAAUGUGGACUCAGGUGUGUAUGGAGGGAAGAUGUCUUGCAAGCCCAAGGAGAAGAUGGCCAUCUGAGCCCACGUCCUGGAACAGAGACUUCCCUCACAGCCUCAGAAAGAACCAGCCCUGCUGACGUCUUGAUCUCAGACCUCCAGCCUCCAGAACUGGGAGACGAUUCAGUCAGCAUCUACACAACACAGGGUUGAACUGUGCGGGUCCACUUCUAUGCAGAUUAUUUUCUUUUUUCUUUUUUGAGACAGAGUCUCGCCCGGUUGCUCAGGCUGAAGUGUAGUGGUGUGAUCUUGGCUUACUGCAGCUUCCACCUCCCAGGUGCAAGUGAUUCUCCUGCCUCAGCUUCCCAAGUAGCUGGGACUAUGGGUACUCGCCACCACACCUGGCUAAUUUUUGUAUUUUUAGUAGAGAUGGGGUUUCACCAUGUUGGUCAGGCUGGUCUUGAACUCCUGACCCCAAGUGAUCUGCCUGCCUUGGCCUCCCAGAUUGCUGGGAUUACAGGUGUGAGCCACCGUGCCCGGCCCUAUAUAACUCUUUGUGCAAGUUUUUACCCCUAAAAGAUAUCUGCCAUCUCAGCCAUGGAACAGACACUGUAAGAACAUGAAGGCUCAAGGGCAGGGCUGGCUACAUAAUUUGUGGGACCCAUUACAAAAUGAACAUGGAGAAAAAACUAGAAAAAAGUGUAGUACAAGGUACUAUAAUAGAUUUUUCCUUUGAAAACAGUUUAAUACUUAUAAAAUGUAAUAGAGGGAAAUAGUGACACGUGAGUAACAAAAUGGGCGUAUCAAUUGGUCUAUGCUAUUUUUGGUGUUAUAAUUUUACCUAAUAUAAUAAGCAGCAACACUUUGUUAGUGAGACGGGCUUUCACCAUGUUGGCCAGGCUGGUCUGGAACUCCUGACCUCAGGUGAUCCGCCUGCCUCAGCCUUCCAAAGUGCUGGGAUUACAGGUGUGAGCCUCUGCGCCCGGCUGUGAUGUCUUGAUUGAUCAUAGGAUUUUUCUGGCUAUUCUAGCUACUUCCAAUUCGCUUCAGCCAAUUUAGUUGAAGUUUUAUCACUUGUGACUUCAGAGUCCUGGUUAAUAUCCUGUUGCCCUCAGGACAUGCAGGAUGGAGGAAGGCACCAGGGAGCCGAGGGAAGUGAGCAGAGAGGCAGUCACUUCAGGGCCACCAGCAUAGCCCCCGUCACUGUCCACAGACACAGGCCCUUCCCCUUCUCAUGGUUGAGCAGGCUCCACCUCACUUCCGUGUAUGACUUCAUAGACCGUUAGGUUCCGUGGUACCCUGGAGUCCACAGCUGCUGAAUCUGAAGGGCCAUCAGAAGACUGGCUUCUCCAUGAUGGUUUAUGGACUAAGGCAAAGAUGAGCAGAGCCAUGGCCCUCUUCUUUGUUCUCUGCUGGAUCCAAGAGUCGGGGGUCUCCCUAUGUUUCCCAGGCUGGCCUCGAACUCCUGACCUCAAGUGAUCCUCCCACCUCAGCCUCCCCGAGUGCUGGGAUUAAAGACGUGAGCCACGGCACCUGGCCUGAAUUUUCCUCAAAUUCAAAAAAUCCUGAUGAAGGUUUGGCUAAAAUCUUUGGUGAGUUACCCCACUCCCUGUGGAACCUCAGGCUGGAUUUGAAGAGUUGCGUGCAUGGUCCUCAUUGUCUCCCAGGUAACCUGUUCCCGCUGCUGUGAAGGGAAGGCAGGUGCUCUUCCUUGAGGCUAGAAUCUGUCUACGUGUCACAGUCUCAGGAAAUUAAGCAAAACAGAUGAUAAACACCUCAAAAGGACCCUACUGAGCAUCAGUGGAGCAGAGCAGGGCCAUGUGGGACUGCGGCGUCAGAUGCCACCUCACACUAGCUGUGACACACCUGCCUCGCCAGUUUCUGCUCUGAGGCCCCAAAGCCGAGCUGAACCUCCUCCAGGGGUUCUCAGCCCUAACUGAGCAUGAAAACCCCUGGGGCAAUCCUCUUUUUAACAAUUGAGACAUUCCACACACACCCCACAUCAGAUUUUGGGGUGUGGGGAUAGACCUUCACAUUUGUAGUUUUCUAACCCUCCAGGGGACACUAGGCUGAGACUCAUUGGUCUCCACUCUGAACCUUCCACUGAACAUGUGAGAAAAACUAAGGCCCAGGGAAGUCUUUAGCAGAGAGCUGAGACGGAGAAAAGGGUUCUGAACCACAGCUGUCUGCUGAAGGAAGCUGUCCAAAGGCCAGUGAAGUCUCUCCUGAGGGUGCCUGGGCUGUGCAUCAGGAGUGAAGGUUGAGGGUCACCUUAGGUGUGAGAAGGAGCAACUGGGAGAGUGGCGCUGAUGCUUCCCCCCGGGUUAGGAGGCAUUUGGAUCACAGAGCGAUGCCUGUUCAUUCCUGCUUGCAAGGGAGCAGAUCUCUCGACACCCGAUGGGCCUCUAUUCCGUUCCGGCAGCUGUCCGUGUCAGGAGCGCUGGGCUUGCUCCUCCCCACGGGAGCCAUCACAGAGGCCUCGGGCAGUCUGCAUAGACAACUGCCUGGCAGGUGACCAGGAGGGGAUGCAUGAGCAGAUGCAGGUAGCACUCGCAGUCCCCCUAGCUGUGCCCUCAGCACCUGCUGUCUAGGAGGCAGAAGCCUUGUUCUCGGCCUUGCAGGUGACCCCAGUGUCUCUGAAUUCGGCCCCAUAUGUGUAGGAGGGGAGUGAUUGCAUCUGAAGAUGGGAGUCUGGUUGGGGGUUUGGGAAGCUCCCAUCACCCCUCAAGAGUCCACUGACCAGCCCAGCUCACACCAGGUGGGCCUUGGCACUGGAGGCCACGGCUCAACUCUGCAGUUCCCUCUGGGCAGCAUUUCCAGGGACUCGUAGGUCAGCAUGGUCAUCAAGGACAGGUGGUGAGAGCAGCUCCUCAUUGUCCUGGUGACCCCGAUGGUUCAUUUUCUGGUGUCUCUGUGGUGAGCUCCUGUUACAUCAAGCGAGUGGAAACCACCGAGGACCAACAGCCCUGGAAAUGCACUGAGAAUGCAGGAUGAGUGGGCUUUGUGAGGACUGUUUUCUGUGACUUAGCAAGGAAAGCCUGGAAGGGAAAGUAAAACUGCUUCUUCCCAGGGAAGCCAGAAACCUGAGAACUUAAAAGGGAAGGAGAACUUAAUAUAUUUCAAAAAUGUAACCCUUGUGAAUUAGCAACAGCUUUAUAAACAAAGAGAUUUCCGAGCUUAUAGAAUCUAUUCUGCUUUGUUUCUGCCCCCAUGGCUCCUACCCCUGUUUUUGUGGGUACAAUUUUCAUAUAGAACAUUUUUACACAAGCUUCAAAACUCUCUGAGGACAGCUUUCCCCUUUGUGUCUGUCGGGUCCCAGGCAGUCACAUCCCAGGAAGUGCUGGGGUUGGGCUCCUUGCUCCACAUCCUUCUUCAGUGGCACGAAGCGUGGGGUGGAGUGUGUGAGUCAUGUGUGAUCUUGGUGUGGGCUAUGGCUGGUCUGCAGCACCCCUUCAAUGACUGCUUCAAGGGCUUUUCAUGAUGCUUGUAGCUCAUGAGCUAGUGUUUCCUAGAUGCUGUUUCCAGGUGUCUUGCAUGUCACACACUGGCCUACCAGGGCUGGAGUGAGAUCAUGAGCGCCAGAUUGUUGGUGAAGGAAGUUGACAGAGACAUCGAAUGUCGGUGAACAGGAGUGACCUUGGGUCUCAAUAAAUACUGUGGUCAACUGAAUCCAGAACCCACCCUUACCAGCAGGGCCCACUUCUUCCCCAGCAGGCCGAGCUCUUCCCCUCCUGUCUUCCCUGGCCCUUGCUUUGUAGCUCUGUGUGGCUGUGUCAUGUCUGGUUGUAUCUGUAUAUACUUCUGCCUCUCCCGCUAUCUAGAUGGCUCGGGGAGGCACACCACACACCAGGUCACCUUCCUCUCUGAACCCCCAGCACCUCAUACUGUUUCUGUGCAGAGAUAAGGCUGGGUGAAAGCUUGUGUGAAUGAUCUGAAGUCUUCUACUCUAGGCCAGUCUCCAGGAGCAUUAUGAUCUUUAGGAGGGUGGGCUUGGUUCCUCUGUACAAUAAUGGGUCAUAAAACUGAGUGGUCAAGAUCAUCCCGGUGAGGGCAGUCCGUGUGUUGCCAUAGUUGCUGUACCGGUUAAGAAUGCACCUGGCUGCAAUUUCCUGAAAACCUGACGUAUAGUGGCUUAAACAAAGAGUGGUUUAUUUUCCUUCUGUCAUAGCAAUCUGGGGGAGGCCACUGUGGCUUUGGCGCAGGAGGUCGGGAAAGGCCCGCUUCUCUGAUAUCAUUGGGGGCCUCCCCAGUGCUUGUGUGGCAGAAUGACAAGAGGAAGAAGAAGGAGAAUUAUGGCACUGAGUAUCAUGAGAUUUGGGGUCAUAUAUCUUUAGUGGGCGGUGUUUGCUGCCCCAAAUGUCUCAUGCCAUUAAAAUGUUCUGGAAAUGAUUUAGGUAGUUGGAGUUUCCUUCCCAAAGACAAGGCAUUUACAGCAUGAUGUCCAAUAUCCAUUGAGUUUGUGUCAUGCAUUCAUUGUAUUCAUAGUCUGCUUUAGGUACUUAGCAAAAUAUUGCUGAUAUUAACAUGCCUUUGUUUGCUUCACUGGAGAUGAAAUUGUGCUCCAAGUGUUUUCCAAGGUUCCGUAUGACCCAUCAUUUGAUGAAACAAGAACAGCAGUCAGAUCCAUUACAAAGAGAGACACACAAAAAAACUAUGUGAAAAUGAGCUUAGCCCCUGGUGUUGUGUUGGAACUUCAGAUGCUUGCAGACACUUCAUGAAUGCUCUGUGACACUCAGAAUAGGCUAUUCCCAACAGAAGAGCUUGAACAAUGCUGCAUUUGCAUCAGGUUCAAAUGAGCGAGAGGAACAUUUGGCUAAAAUAUUUGAUGAAAUUCUACUGCAGGUGUUUCCAAAGUUUCCGUAUGACCCAUCAUUUAACGAAGCAACAGCAGUCAGAUCCAUUACAAAGACAGACAUGAGAAAAGGAACCAGCAUUGCUUGGAAUUCUCCUAAACCAGAAUAUUUCCUUGGCAGUGUGGACAAAAUUCCUGAUAAAGAGAUGGGGUUUCACUGUGUUAGCCAGGAUGGUCUCGAUCUCCUGACCUCAUGAUCCGCCCGCCUCGGCCUCCCAAAGUGCUGGGAUUACAGGCGUGAACCACCAUGCCCGGCCCAGAAUGUCCUUUCUUUUCGAAGCGGAGUAAUAUUCCAUUAUCACCUUUCAGAGGAGAAGAAUUUUAAAGAAUCCUGUCUGUUCGACAGGGAUUUAAGAGAGCAGUUAACUACUAUAGAUAAAGAAACACUUCAAGGAGCAGCUAAACCAGAUGCUCACUUUAGGACUAUGCCCUGCGGGCAGCUUCUGCACUUCCUGCAGAGGAACACCAUCAUCGCCGCCGUCUCAGGGGUGGCCAUCCUCAUGGCCAUCGUGCUGUUGCUGCUUGGGUUGGCCUCAUACAUCAGGAAGAAACAGCCAUCAUCUCCUCUGGCAAACACGACAUAUAAUAUUUUUAUAAUGGAUGGAAAGACAUGGUGGCACAAUUCUGAAGAAAAAAAUUUCACAAAACUUGCAAAAAAACAGAAACAGUUGAAGAGCAGCUCCUGUGUCUAAGCCAGGUCGUGGGGCCGUCAAACCAGGACUUGAAACCACAAUGCGAGGACAUUCUCCAUCUGCGCACCACAGGGAGGCAAUUCCAUUUCUGCCCGGGAGGUGUAUUCUACAAAAACGUCUGCUUCCCAUCCCAAUUUGAAUGGACCAAGAAAAACUGCUUUACCAUAGGACACUUGUGGCAAUAUGGCACCGAUGGCUGGCGUCGGUGAACCCGACAGACUAUGGAUUUAUCAUUUAAUAAAGCAUUGAUUCAUUUUUUCAGUCAUUCAUUGAACAGAUAUUAAUAGACCACCUCACAUGCUGACAAUAUCAAAAUACAAUGAGGAAACUAACAGUGACCCAGGCAUGCAUUCUUCCCCGAGCAAGAUCACAGUCCAUGGUGUGAGCACAACCAUACUAAAUAGCUUUUAUGGGAGGUGGGAGUACAGAAAGUAUUAUAUCUGCAAAGAAACUGCUAAGAAUUGUGGGAGCGCCCCAGGAGGUGAUUUCCUGCUUGCGUGACCAGCACAAAGAAAUGGGGUAAUUGAGAGUGUCAUGAAGUGGGGUUAUUUAUUUAUUGAGUC
rnacentral:lncRNA from 10 species